UUCACUGACCAGCAGAGAGCGCUAUAUAAACCUAAGUCACCGGGCAUCUUGUAAUCACUGGCUAAAUUAAUAGUGUUUUGCAAGGGGGGGAAACGGCAAAAGAACGUUACAUCCAAUAAAAAAAAAAAAUCAUGUGAAAAUGUAUAUUUAUGAAGACUGCCAAUAGGGGUACCUUUGUUAUCUUUUUUUUCUGUUGUUUUGUGUCUGCCUCUGAACAGAAAGUGAAAGACGCAGGACUUUUGGGUAUUCCCCUUCAAUCUGUUCUCACGGGAAAUACAUACAGUACUAACAUUUUGUGUCUCUUCGCACAAAGAAGUGGUUGGAAUAGUUAGCUGGUGUCCAGAGGACUUGAGCCAUGAAUGUCCCAAAGUGUCCCAGUUGUCAUCAGUUUAAUGUCAUAGUUAUGGAUGGUCAGUGUGCAGUCUGCAGAUCUUGCUCUGUAGUGAACAGGUCUGUGUUUCGUUUCUGUGUGGCAUGUCAGAGAGAGUUGCCACACAGCGCUUCGAUCACCAAUUCCUGCACACUGCCGAACUGUGCGCUCCGUGCUGCCCUCCUCAGCGACACAAAAAUCACUGAUCCACACAGCUCUGCGAGAGGAUGUCCAUACUUCAGGGCCUGCCUAGGGUGCAAGACCCUGCUUACACACAACGGAAAAGGCUGCCCCAAUAUCAUCUGCCCUCAGUGUAACACACAUUUCUGCUUCCGCUGCCUCCGUCAGUGCUGCCCCGGGAUACAGGAUAUUGAAACCCUUCGGCUUCUUACCCAUCGACUGUCAAAUUACCUGUUGACUAAUGAUGUAAUUCCAUGCCGAAUUGUGGACAACAAUCAGAGUCUCACUGCUUUUGGACUUUAAUGUAAAAGAUGUGACUAUAAAAACUGAUAAAAGGGAGAACAUUAAAACCCACCUACAGUAUAAUGGAAAAUGUUCAGCUAAGGCUGAACAUUUUGUGAUUUAUAAUGGAAUAUAAACAUAUUUCACCAAGAUUAUAAUCAGGCAUUGUAAUAUGCCUUCAAGGAAGUAAUUUAAUUUUAGUCAGUAAAUAAACUUGGCCAUUACUGAAAAUAUAUACUAACUCAUUUAAAACAAUGUUUUUUUUUAUUUUUUAUUUAUAUAUAUGUUUUUUUUUAACCUUUAUUGAGAACUGUUUCUCAUUUGCAACAGCAACCUGGCCAAGAUGAAAGUGUUAAGGUACAGAUAACAUAAAAUUAA